rnacentral:tRNA from 1 species
CGCGGAGUAUAUCAGAGGUAGAUAACCAGGCUCAUAACCUGUGAGGUCGGCGGUUCGAAUCCAUCCUCCGCAA